UAGUAGUGCAUAGAAUUCUAGCUU
rnacentral:piRNA from 1 species